UACGAGGGGGGCUAGCGUUGUUCGGAAUUACUGGGCGUAAAGCGCGCGCAGGCGGUCCUUUAAGUCAGGGGUGAAAGCCCAGAGCUCAACUCUGGAACUGCCUUUGAAACUAGAGGACUUGGGUACGGGAGAGGUGAGUGGAAUUCCGAGUGUAGAGGUGAAAUGCGCAGAUAUCAGGAGGAACACCAAUGGCGAAGGCAGCUCGCUGGGACGUGACUGACGCUGAGACGCGAAAGCGUGGGGAGCGAACAGG
rnacentral:rRNA from 1 species